rnacentral:rRNA from 1 species
UACGGAGGGUGCAAGCGUUGUUCGGAAUUAUUGGGCGUAAAGCGCGUGUAGGCGGCGUGGCAAGUCGGGUGUGAAAUCCCUCGGCUCAACUGAGGAAGUGCAUCCGAAACUGGCAGGCUUGAGUACUAAAGAGGGUCGCGGAAUUCCCGGUGUAGAGGUGAAAUUCGUAGAUAUCGGGAGGAACACCGGUGGCGAAGGCGGCGACCUGGGUAGAUACUGACGCUGAGGUGCGAAAGCGUGGGGAGCAAACAGG